AAUUGUGAGCCAAAGUAAACCUCUCCUCCUUUAGGCUGUGGGUGUCAGUUUUUCGUCCUAGAUACAGGAAAGCUGACCAAUACUUAGUAUUGCUUGGUCAUGGUUUGUGCAUGUCUCUACAGGGUUCAUAUGCUGGAGCCUUGGUCUCCAGGUGGCAGCGCUGAGGUGGUGGAACCUUUAAAAGAUGGAGCCUAACGGGAGUUGGUCAGGUCAUUCAUUGGAACACUGCCUCAGCAGGGAUGUAAAUCUUGUGGGACCCUGGUUAGUUCUUGCAAGAGGAAUGCUAUAAAAAGAGCAAGGCAAGCCCCUUCUCUCUGGCUUCCUGUCCCACUCUGUGAUUUCUCCCACCAGCACACAUUCCUGUCAAGAUGACAUCUGCCAUGAGGUCCCUAUCACAGAAGUCAAUGCUACAUCAAAGUCCUUGGACACCAAUACCACAAGCUAUAUAAACCUCUUUUCCUUACCAGCCUCAGGUAUUUUAUUAUAGUAACAGAAAAAGGACUAAUAUACUUCAGACUUAUGAGGCCAACUGCAGUUCUGGGCUAGUGGUUGUGACAUCACUAUGGGAAGGGGGAUAAAGCCAUAGCUCCUUCCCCUGGGAGAUCACAGAAAGGUUGGGAACAGAAGACAAAUGCCACCAUUCCCUACUACUCUCUCACAAGACAAGAGGGUAGAAGGCUGAGCAUAAGAAGCAACACAGCCAAUGCAAUUGCUGCAUAGAGACCAAGAGAAGGAACAACCUAAAUCAUGCCAUGGAACUCAUCGGUUCUUCCUAUAGGAUGAAAGGCCAGGUGUAUUUGCAACUGUCCAGCCUCACUUUCUGGCCGGUUCCUUAUAUGAAGAAGCCAGGAUGGGCAACCAGUUCCCUGGAUGUUGGGAGGGUGCCAGGCUGUCUCCAGAUCUCUCUGAGCCUAGCUGCUUCUCUGUAAGAGGUGGAAGAGCUUUUCUCUCCCAGGUGACCAUGACAUCUUUUCCCGAGCCUGGAGGCCUAGAGAAGCACCCUUAAAAAUUAAAGCUAAUUUCCAUGUGCAUUGUACUUUUAUGAGGAAGGGCCUGGAAGUUUCUUUAGUUCCUCCCAAGGUCCAGGACCCACAGAAGGCUGCAAACCACUGCCCUGGCCCCAGGUCUCUCCCAGUCCAUGGUAUAAGAUUAGAGGUGCUUUCUCUGUUUGCUGGAGGCAGGAAGAUGCCCCACACUGCUAUGAACUGGGUGCCAGGUUCUACGUAAGCUCCAUCCCCACAUCCUCCUCACCUAUCCCUGUCACCCCACGGCUCAUCUUUCCAGCCCCUCCACUUCUGCUGAGGCAGCCCCCUGCCUAGCAUGCUGCUCCCUGUACUGGCCUCCACCCAUCCACAUCCCACCAGGGCCUCCUAAUCUCAGAGGGCUGGGACCUCUCCUGUCUGUGUUUUGAAUUCUCCCUAAUCCUUGACAAGACCCAGCUGAGCACACAACCAACAGACCAUGCUGUGACUUCAAGGUACUCUGAUGGUGGCCCGAAUGGUGGGUGGAGGACUGGAGAGACAAAUGCCCAGCAGAAGGGGACGGGGAGGCUCCUUUGAUCCUCAACAGUGGCCCCUGCCUCUCCCUGCAUGUUAGGUCCUGGCCAGCCCCGCUGCUGAGGCCCAGAGCUGGCUGGCAACCUUCCACUCUUGGAGGCGGCACUGGCAUACCGGGAGGGCCCUCCUCAGAGAUGGCUGUUGGGCCAGAAAUGGAACAGGGCACAGAUGGGCCGGGGGCGAGGGAUUCCCUCAGCCCCACAAAAGGGCUCUGGGUAUUUACAGCUCUCGGAGCCAUCUGCAAUCUCCUGCCACCUUAUUUCCUGUGUUCAGAGUAUCCUCGGCCCCAACACCCUCAGCACUCAGCUCCAGAAAGGUUUUCCUUUCAUGUCACUGCUUAAAAUAGAGGCUUAUAUAAGCAUAGUUCUGAUCCGAGAGAAAAUCAGGGGUGCUGGCUCAGGGGCCGGGUGGUUGGAGAGCGAAUGUUGCCCCAGUGCCCCUGGCUCUGGGCAGCCUGCCUCCCCCAUCCCUGUGGCUUUAAACCCUGGCCAUAUCCACCCUGCCGGUCUUCCUCCACACUCCCGUGGGUCCUGCUGCUGCACUCUCCCUUCCCCUUCUCCCUAAGGCAAGGGCCUAAUUCACAGGCAGGCCCUUUCUUGAUGCUACACUUGGGGGCAGAGAAGCCCCCCCUCAACACAUCCCAUGCAUGCACCUGUACCACAGAUUCACAGCAGAAGCACCAGUAUGCAACACUCUCAGAGAAAGAUAUCUAGACUCACACCCGCACCCAGACACACACACAUGUAACAAGUGUAACACACACGUGUAUGUGGGAGUCACAUAGGGUAUCUUUCAUGUCUCUGGCCCUCCGCACCCACUCACACCUGCUGCUGCUGGACCACAGUUUUAGAUCACCCCCUGACCUCUGCCUGCUCAGAGAGGAGCAGGAGGGUGCAAUCCCAGCAACUCGGG